GGUUCAUGACUCUUUUGUACCUACUCCUUCCCAGCCAUCAACUCUAGAAGUAGGAAGGGUCAUCUUCUGUCAGAGGAGGUGCCACAUGGGUUUCUGGCUAAAAGCACCUCCCUACUGGUUCUAUGAAACACUCCAGGUUCCUAUUGUAUAUUUCCUCCCCAGUCCUAGACACAACCACUUCUCCAAGAGACUCUGAGCCUUCUACUGGACAAUGAUAAUAGAAAAUAACAACUGGGUGCUAGGUAUGCUGUUGUUACAGGAUUAUCUGACAGAGCAAAGAAAUGUAUGUAUAUAUACAUAAACAUAUGACUUUUUCUUUAUGUCACCAUCUACAUCUAUAUUAAAAUAAACAUAAGUUCUUACUGAUGUCUUCAACAGUAAUCCAUUACCACA